CAGGCUUAACACAUGCAAGUCGAGGGGCAGCAUGGUCUUAUCUUGCUAAGGCCGAUGGCGACCGGCGCACGGGUGAGUAACACGUAUCCAACCUGCCGUCUACUCUUGGACAGCCUUCUGAAAGGAAGAUUAAUACAAGAUGGCAUCAUGAGUCCGCAUGUUCACAUGAUUAAAGGUAUUCCGGUAGACGAUGGGGAUGCGUUCCAUUAGAUAGUAGGCGGGGUAACGGCCCACCUAGUCUUCGAUGGAUAGGGGUUCUGAGAGGAAGGUCCCCCACAUUGGAACUGAGACACGGUCCAAACUCCUACGGGAGGCAGCAGUGAGGAAUAUUGGUCAAUGGGCGAGAGCCUGAACCAGCCAAGUAGCGUGAAGGAUGACUGCCCUAUGGGUUGUAAACUUCUUUUAUAAAGGAAUAAAGUCGGGUAUGGAUACCCGUUUGCAUGUACUUUAUGAAUAAGGAUCGGCUAACUCCGUGCCAGCAGCCGCGGUAAUACGGAGGAUCCGAGCGUUAUCCGGAUUUAUUGGGUUUAAAGGGAGCGUAGAUGGAUGUUUAAGUCAGUUGUGAAAGUUUGCGGCUCAACCGUAAAAUUGCAGUUGAUACUGGAUAUCUUGAGUGCAGUUGAGGCAGGCGGAAUUCGUGGUGUAGCGGUGAAAUGCUUAGAUAUCACGAAGAUCUCCGAUUGAGAAGGCAGCGUGAUAAGCUGCAACUGACAUUGAGGCUCGAAAGUGUGGGUAUCAAACAGGAUUAGAUACCGUGGUAGUCCACACGGUAAACGAUGAAUACUCGCUGUUUGCGAUAUACUGCAAGCGGACAAGCGAAAGCGUUAAGUAUUCCAUCUGGGGAGUACGCCGGCAACGGUGAAACUCAAAGGAAUUGACGGGGCCCGCACAAGCGGAGGAACAUGUGGUUUAAUUCGAUGAUACGCGAGGAACCUUACCCGGGCUUAAAUUGCAGAUGAAUUACGGUGAAAGCCGUAAGCCGCAAGGCAUCUGUGAAGGUGCUGCAUGGUUGUCGUCAGCUCGUGCCGUGAGGUGUCGGCUUAAGUGCCAUAACGAGCGCAACCCUUGUUGUCAGUUAUUAACAGGUUCCGCUGAGGAUUUUGACAAGACUGCCAUCGUAAGAUGUGAGGAAGGUGGGGAUGACGUCAAAUCAGCACGGCCCUUACGUCCGGGGCUACACACGUGUUACAAUGGGGGGUACAGAGGGCCGUUACCACGGGAGUGGAUGCCAAUCCCCAAAACCUUUUUCAGUUCGGACUGGAGUUUGCAACCCGAUUCCACGAAGCUGGAUUCGUUAGUAAUCGCGCAUCAGCCACGGCGCGGUGAAUACGUUCCCGGGCCUUGUACACACCGCCCGUCAAGCCAUGGGAGCCGGGGGUACCUGAAGUGCGUAACCGCGAGGAGCGCCCUAGGGUAAAACUGG
rnacentral:rRNA from 1 species